GACGUAGGGGGCCAGCGUUGUUCGGAAUUACUGGGUGUAAAGGGUUCGUAGGCGGUGUAGCAAGUCGGGAGUGAAAUCUCUGGGCUUAACCCAGAGGCUGCUUCCGAAACUGCUGUGCUUGAGUGUGGGAGAGGCGCGUGGAAUUGCAGGUGUAGCGGUGAAAUGCGUAGAGAUCCGGAAGAACACCGGUGGCGAAGGCGGCCUGCUGGGCAGUAGCUGACGCUGAUGCGCGACAGCGUGGGGAGCAAACAGG
rnacentral:rRNA from 1 species